UGGGGAAUUUUGGACAAUGGGCGAAAGCCUGAUCCAGCAAUGCCGCGUGUGUGAAGAAGGCCUUCGGGUUGUAAAGCACUUUUGUCCGGAAAGAAAUGGCUCUGGUUAAUACCUGGGGUCGAUGACGGUACCGGAAGAAUAAGGACCGGCUAACUACGUGCCAGCAGCCGCGGUAAUACGUAGGGUCCAAGCGUUAAUCGGAAUUACUGGGCGUAAAGCGUGCGCAGGCGGUUGUGCAAGACCGAUGUGAAAUCCCCGAGCUUAACUUGGGAAUUGCAUUGGUGACUGCACGGCUAGAGUGUGUCAGAGGGGGGUAGAAUUCCACGUGUAGCAGCGAAAUGCGUAGAGAUGUGGAGGAAUACCGAUGGCGAAGGCAGCCCCCUGGGAUAACACUGACGCUCAUGCACGAAAGCGUGGGGAGCAAACAGGAUUAGAUACCCUGGUAGUCCACGCCCUAAACGAUGUCAACUAGUUGUUGGGGAUUCAUUUCCUUAGUAACGUAGCUAACGCGUGAAGUUGACCGCCUGGGGAGUACGGUCGCAA
rnacentral:rRNA from 1 species